GAUGAACGCUAGCGGCAGGCUUAACACAUGCAAGUCGAGGGGCAGCGCGGGAUAGCAAUAUCCUGGCGGCGACCGGCGGAAGGGUGCGUAACGCGUGAGCGACAUGCCCGUUGCCCGGGGACAACCGGUGGAAACGCCGACUAAUCCCCGAUGGGAUAUUGUGCCGCAUGGCACGAUAUUGAAAGUUACGGCGGCGACGGAUUGGCUCGCGUCCGAUUAGCUGGUUGGCGGGGUAACGGCCCACCAAGGCUGCGAUCGGUAGGGGUUCUGAGAGGAAGGCCCCCCACAAUGGGACUGGGACACGGCCCAUACUCCUACGGGAGGCAGCAGUGAGGAAGAUUGGUCAAUGGGCGGAAGCCUGAACCAGCCAUGCCGCGUGCGGGAAGGAGGCCCUAUGGGCUGUGAACCGCUUUUGCCUGGGGGCAAUAAGGGCGUCGCGCACGUCCGAUGAGAGUACCAGGCGAAUAAGCAUCGGCUAACUCCGUG
rnacentral:rRNA from 1 species